rnacentral:lncRNA from 1 species
CGGGUUAUAUUCUUCUCAUAUAUUUUAUGAUGGUAUGAUACGCAACCCGUAACGGGAGGGAUUGUGCUUGAUAUUCAAAUAAUUAAGACAGUCAUAAUCUUUCAAUCAGUUUAAUUGAGGUGUGGAGCUGGCAUGUCAGUAACUGCUAGUAGUCCUUUGUUAAUUUAUGUAUCAUUGUCAUUUUGUUAAGUUUCAUUUGUU